CAUCAACUGUCACCCAGCGGGGAGAUUGUAUCCCAGAUUGAUGGAACCUUUUAAGGUACCUGAUGGGGGAUCCCAGAGAAGAAGCUUCGAGCACAAAGGAAGAGGUGGUCAGAGACUCGGUGCAUUUUGGGGCAUUGUUGAAUGAAUUCAGAAAUCACAAGGUGCCUUGAGAGCUGUCAAUAGUCUAAUUUCCUCCAACCUCUCAUCAUCCAUGAUCUGCCUGCCUUAAAAAGAUCAGUCUGUUUUAGGUAUGGGAGGUUCUGGGUCUUCUGUCAGAAAGGUGACUCAGCAAAGAACAAAUGCACCUGUUCCAGGACAGCAAAAGGCACAGCUGCAAAGUGGAAGGCAAAGUUUGGAUUCAGAAGCAGCGAAAAGACUGGGAUCUAUGAGGCAAAGCUGUUAGAGUUAAAGCAGUGCCAAGUCUCAUUCUAAAAAGGACUUUUCACCAUCCUAGGCCAUGGUUAACCCGGUGACUAAGAAGGAUGCCAAGGGAGAAAAGAAAAGCUGAAAAGCCCCAUGGUCCUUUCACAAAGGUGGCACCUGGGACAGGAAUCCAACAGAACAAGCAGAGUGGUGCCGAGCCCCGGCCCACAGUCCCAAGUGCACUGGCCACGACCCCAUGGAGGUCCCCUUCUAAAGAGCCCCGAACUGUAGAAGCCGCAGCUCCUGGGUUUGGCCUUCCCAUGACAAGACCCCCUCAAUCCACCACCACCAGCUGCCCAGCUCAGAAAUCGCUGUGAUAGGAAGAGGAUGAGAAAAGGGACACAAUCUCAGAAUCGGUGGGGCAGGGCCUUCAGCACCACCAUCUGCCCACAGGGAAUGAAGAGACCGGGGCACCAGGAGACGCGGAUAUUUUUAUAAGGAGGAAGGAAUAGCAAUGGAAUCAGUGUUGGUGGCUACAGGGAAGAAGCAGAUCCAAGAAAAGAAGGCCAGUGUCUUAUCUGUUAGAAGACAUGUUCUUCAAAGCCCUGAGAGGUAGAGAAAGCAGUUGGACUUUUCCCUUCUGGGAAUAAGAUGGAAAGAGCUAUACAAAUCAGGAAUGUAGUUGUUUUUUUAAAUAUUACUGAGAAAUUGAAAGUGAAUGUUCUGGAGAAAAGUGGGAUGAAGAACUGGUAGAUUGUCAUCUUUGUGUCUUAAAAGGUUGCCAAGAAAGUGGAGAGAAGGGUGUAGAUUUUUGAACUAGAAGCCAUUUGAGGUUGAGAAAAGAGAUGCCUUAAGAUAAGGCUUCCAUAGAGCACAUUGCUCUUUCCACAGGGACACAUACUGAUCCCGAGGAAAAAUUUAUAGAGGGCCUAUCACACAAUAGACACACAGAAAAUCUAUGUUGACUGAAUGAUUACUGGGAUUACUUAAUGGUUACUAGCAGGUCUAGAAAAUAAAAAAAAGAUCGAUGUAAAGAAACCUACAGUGACCACACUGUCUAUGGCUAUGGUAACAAAGGAGUUCACAAGUUUGAACCUAUUAUUGCAGUAUUUUAAAAUUUCAAUAGUUACCUGCUUCUUUAAAAAUUAUCUUCUGUAGAGAGAGAUUGCACCCCCUUUAGCCACUAACUUUUUAGAAUAGAAGGAACACAGGACUAGAAGUUAGAAGAUUAGAGUCAUUGUCCCCAUUCUAUUACAUACCAAUAGUGAGAUCUUGAUCAUGUCUCUAGAUUUCAGUUUCCUUAUCUGUAAAAUGAGGUUGAUUCUAUCCCCUCUUCCUACUGCUGGGAGUUGGGGUGAGGCUCAAAUGAGAAUAAUGAAUGAGAAUAUGCUUUAAAUGGUAUUGUGCUCCCUGUAAAUGUCAGAUGUUAAAAAAAAAAUAGUCUGGAAUGCGAAGUUGACUGACUUUUUAGGCAGUGUGCCUCUCACAGUGGCUGAAUACUUUUGGUAUUGAGGUCUAGUUCUCAGCUUCAAAGAUCCCAAUGAGAAUAUAUCAGAGGAGAUAAGGUUCUGGGAAAUUUAUGCAUACCAAAUAAACUCCAAAGAAACCAACUGUUUUACCAAUAUGCACCUGUAUUAACUGAUAAAAAGACUUACUUGGCAAAAUAAUUGAUACCAGUCAUUCAAACAGGCUGGCCUUCUCUCCAGAUGGGAAAAUCCACAUAGUUUUGAAGUAUAGGAUUAGAACAGAGAGAAUAGGAUGUUUUGAAGAGGUGUUUGUAGACUAGCCAUAUAUCUUGGCACAUUUCUCUCCAAACAGAAUUAAUUUUCUAGUACCAAUGCUGACUAAAUACUGACAAAUCCCUAUUCUUGGGCCUUCCUACAUCAAGAUUCCAUGUAGAGUAGCUUUUGACAAGACUCACUUAAAAUACUGUUUAGCAAAUAACCUUCUUUUAUCUUAGAAAGGUUUCCCUGAAGAGAUUUCAGAAGUCAUCCUAAUCUUAACAAUUAAUAUAACCCAGGUAAAUAGAGUCUCUUAGGGGAAGGUUAGGUUAGUCCUUCAAAUGGCUAACCUCACACAUUUGAUAAUGGUUCUUAAUUGCUACCAUUUCCCAGUAAUAACAUUUCUUAUCAUGUUUGUAAAUUUAAGGCAUGGUUCUAGCUUGGGGCUUGUGGUGCUGUAGACAUUGACUAAAUAAAUUAUGAAUAUAAAUAUAAAAGUAAUUACUAUUACUAUUACUGUCUCUCAGCACUCCUCCUACUGGAUAGCAUUUGCUUUUCUGAUGAUUUUGUGUCCACAGUCUACUUUGGUUUGUCAAUUCUUAAAAACAUGAAUUUGAGUUAGAAAAGUAUGAGAUGGGUACAGAGAAAAAGGCAGGGAUGGUCUGUGACCUCUACUGUUGGAGGAAGUACCUGUAUCGAUGAGAUCAUGAAUUCAUUGAUUUAUCAAAGUAACUAGAAAUAUCAAAGUCAUUCAUCGGAGGCCAAAAAAUUGAAGUUGGUAACUCACUGAAGAGGCAUCUUCCUCAUUAGUAGGAAAAGCUCAUAUGACUCUGACCAAAAUAAUAUAGAGAAUCUUAUGUGUUGACAGGCCUUCAAAGAAGGAAUCUCUGCUCUGCAUCUGGGUUUCUAUUGUCCCACUGCAGCCACACACAAAGCAAGAGAAAUUUUGAUAAAUUCAUGGUCAUCUACUCUUAAUUUUUUAAUUGGUCGAUUUUCCGCUCCUUCAGGGACAUUUACUAGUCCGUAUCUGCUCCUGUAUUUUAUAAAUGAUUGCAGCUAAGAGUCUUGUCUAGUGUUGUAAAGUCUGGUAGGAAAAGUGAGUCCUUUUAGAUAGCUUGGAAUCUUUGGGAUGGGGUGGACUGAUUCAGAGUAUUUCAAAUGAAAGAUCGUCCCUCAACUUUACUCUCCAUU